rnacentral:lncRNA from 1 species
AUUUGGAUGAAGCUGUAGGCCAUUAUUCUAAGUCAAGUAACUUAGGAAUGGAAAACCAAAUAUUGUGUGUUCUUAUAAGUGGGGGCUAAACUAUGAGGAUGCAAACACACACACACACACACACACACACAAAUGAUAUAAUGGACUCUGGGGACUCAGAGGCAGGAAGGAAGUUGGGAAUGAAGUGAGGGAUAAAAUUCUACAUACUGGGUACAGUGUACACUGCUCAGGUGAUAGGUGCGUUAAAAUCUGAGGAUUCACUACUAAAGAACUCAUCCAUGUAACCAAAUCCUGCAUUUGUCAGUUGAAUCCUGUUGGUCAUUUGUGUUAUCCAGUUCUGUACUUCUGCUAAUUUUUCGGCCUAGUAGUUCUAUCACUUGCUGAGAGUAGGGUGUCGAUAUUCCCAACCAUAAUCCUGGAUUUGUUUGUUUCUCCUUUCAGCUCUGCUAUGUCAUCCUGUUGGAUUGUUUAUCAUAAUCUAACAUACCUCUUUGUCUCUAGUAAUUUUCUGCACUGUGAAGUCUGCUUUAUCUGAUACUAGUUUAGCCACUUUUUUUGGUUAAGAUUUGCACAGUGUAUAUCUUAAUCGUUUUACAUUUAAUCUACCUAUGAUAUUGUUUUUGAAGUUUCUUGUAGAUACAUGGCAUGUUGUUAACCAUGUUUACUUUUUAA